rnacentral:misc_RNA from 1 species
CAGCCUCCACAACAACCAGACAUGCUAGCAGUCGUCGUCUCCCUGUCCAUGUCUAGCGGCAGUGCGUCAACCUCCACCUUUCGCUCCUUCAACGCCGACCACCUCCUUGCCCGCGUCGACGCCCAACAACGCCUCUCUCUCCUCUUCAAGCUUCUCCCGCCGCUUGCGUCAAAAUCCCCUUGCCUGGUUGAAUCCGGCGUAGCCCCUUGCCUGGUUGGACCUGCCCUGUUGCCCUCCCCCUUCUUCGUCGCCGCCAUCAUUGGAUCUGUUGCUGCCGCGGCCUUCCCGGCCAAAUCCAC